ensembl:lncRNA
GAAACAGGCAUGCUUACCUCACAGAACGAGGAGCCCAGAAGAGUCAGCAGAGCAAUUGGUUCUGUUGCUCCAAGGUGUCCUUCGUCCGUGCACUCCAUUUCAUCCUCAGUGAAUUAGAAAUAUUGUCCCUCGAGCUCUAACCACUAUCACCUCAAAAAACACACUUAAAGGUGAGAAGAAAAGGCGAAACCAUCAACCCCUUUUCCUCUCCUUUAUGACAAAAGCGGGAGAAGGCACUGGCGACCCACUCCAGUACUCUUGCCUGGAAAAUCCCAUGGACGGAGAAGCCUGGUAGGCUGCCGUCCAUGGGGUCGCGAAGAGUCGGACACAACUGAGCGACUUCACUUUCACUUUUCACUUUCACGCAUUGGAGAAGGAAAUGGCAACCCACUCCAGUGUUCUUGCCUGGAGAAUGCCAGGGACGAGGGAGCCUGGUGAGAGACGGACACAACUGAAGCGACUUAGCAGCAGCAGCAGCAGCAGCAGCAGCAGCAGGAUGACAAAAGAGAAAACCCGUUCCAGAGCAGCCCUUUUAUCUCAUUGGCCAGAAUGGGGUCAGUUGAUUGGUCCAACCAAUCAAUAAGAGCAGAGAGGACUAGGAUUACGGGAUUGGCUUAAACCAAGGAUGAUUUAUCCCUUGGAUGGAACCCACCUGCUCUGCUUGUGUUGCUGCCUCAUGCCUAAUCUCUCUCUCUCUUUUUUAAUCAAGGCCCUUUUAUCUAGGAAAAUGGAGAGAGUGACUGUGGAGCAGAGAACCAACAAUGUCUGGUCCACACCCAACUCAGAGUUCCUGGUCACUUCAGUCGUGUCCGACUCUGUGCAACCCCAUAGACGGCAGCCCACCAGGCUCCCCCAUCCCUGGGAUUCUCCAGGCAAGAACACUGGAGUGGGUUGCCAUUUCCUUCUCCAAUGCAUGAAAGUGAAAAGAGAAAGUGAAGUCGCUCCGUCAUGUCUGACUCUUAGCGACCCCAUGGACUGAAGCCUACCAGCCUCCUCCAUCCAUGGGAUUUUCCAGGCAGGAGUACUGGAGUGGGGUGCCAUUGCCUUCUCCGCUCUCUGUAAAUAGCUAAUAAAAAAAAAAAAAAAAAAAACAAGAUUGAAGAAACAGAUCAUUACUUUAUCUUGAAAUUCUUAUUCUUCUCAUUCAAGUUUCCAGCCUAUGUAUUACUCUAUUUUACAUAUAUCCAUCCAUCCAUCCAUGUAUAUAUAAUACACACGUGGCAGAAGCAGCCGAAAACAAUUAUUCCUAAUUCAUUUUCAAAGUCAAGAGGCAUUUUAGCUCUAGGUCAGAACUCCCAGGAUCCCAUAUGAAAAGUUCUGAAGAAAAAAAUCUGGAAAACAUUUCUGACUCCUCAAGCCUCACAAGGACAGCUUUCAGACCGUGUGAUUCAGAACUCCCAGAAGAAAAAAGCAAUCCAGCGCUUGUCCUUAUAAAAGCCAAAACCCUUUCUUCAGGAUGUAGCAGCCUUAUCACAUGACCUCAGCUGGCCUGGAGGAGAGCAGAAUCAUGAAACUGUGCCUUGCCACAUGAACUCAAAAGCUGAGAGA